UUGCUCACUUUGGCAGCAAUAUAGCAAGUUGAAAUGAUACAGAAAUAUUAGUAUGGUUCCUGCACAAGAACGACAUGCAAAAUUGUGAAAUGUUCCAUAUUUUU
ensembl:snRNA U6 U6 spliceosomal RNA